rnacentral:rRNA from 1 species
UACGUAAGGGGCAAGCGUUGUCCGGAUUUAUUGGGCGUAAAGAGCGUGUAGGCGGCCAUACAGGUCCGUUGUGAAAACUGGAGGCUUAACCUCCAGACGUCGAUGGAAACCGUAUGGCUAGAGUCCGGAAGAGGAGAGUGGAAUUCCUGGUGUAGCGGUGAAAUGCGCAGAUAUCAGGAAGAACACCCGUGGCGAAGGCGGCUCUCUGGGACGGUACUGACGCUGAGGAGCGAAAGCGUGGGGAGCGAACAGG